AUACGGAGGGUGCGAGCGUUAAUCGGAAUUACUGGGCGUAAAGCGUACGUAGGCGGCUGGUUAAGUUAGAUGGGAAAGCCCCGGGCUUAACCUGGGAACUGCAUUUAAAACUGGCGAACUAGAGUUGAGUAGAGGGGAGUGGAAUUUCAGGUGUAGCGGUGAAAUGCGUAGAGAUCUGAAGGAACACCAGUGGCGAAGGCGACUCCCUGGACUCGAACUGACGCUGAGGUACGAAAGCGUGGGUAGCAAACGGGAUUAGAUACCCCAGUAGUCC
rnacentral:rRNA from 1 species